GAUGAACGCUGGCGGCGUGCCUAAUACAUGCAAGUCGAGCGAACAGACGAGAGUGCUUGCACUCUCUGACGUUAGCGGCGGACGGGUGAGUAACACGUGGGUAACCUACCUAUAAGACUGGGAUAACUUCGGGAAACCGGAGCUAAUACCGGAUAAUAUUUAGCUUCGCAUGAAGCAAUAGUGAAAGACGGUUCUGCUGUCACUUAUAGAUGGACCCGCGGUGUAUUAGCUAGUUGGUGAGGUAACGGCUCACCAAGGCAACGAUACAUAGCCGACCUGAGAGGGUGAUCGGCCACACUGGGACUGAGACACGGCCCAGACUCCUACGGGAGGCAGCAGUAGGGAAUCUUCCGCAAUGGGCGAAAGUCUGACGGAGCAAUGCCGCGUGAGUGAAGAAGGUUUUCGGAUCGUAAAACUCUGUUGUAAGGGAAGAACAAGUACGUUAGUAACUGAACGUACCUUGACGGUACCGUACCAGAAAGCCACGGCUAACUACGU
rnacentral:rRNA from 1 species